UGAUAAAGUGUAAAAUGUUACGG
rnacentral:piRNA from 1 species